rnacentral:snRNA from 1 species
GACGUCCUCGAUGAGAGGACUUUAUAUUAAACGGAUUUUUGGGCGUGGGAGUCGGACCCGGAGCUUGCUCCAUCCGCUCCGCGCAUCGUCCCGGUAUUGCAGCGCCUCCGGGCUCGGUGCACCCCUG